rnacentral:rRNA from 1 species
GACGAACGCUGGCGGCGUGCUUAACACAUGCAAGUCGAACGGAAAGGCCUGCUUUCCCUUGUGGAUUGCGGGUACUCGAGUGGCGAACGGGUGAGUAACACGUGAGUGAUCUGCCCCCAACUUGGGUAUAAGCCUGGGAAACUGGGUCUAAUUCCCGAUAGGACUGCAGGGUGGUGCCUGUGGUGGAAAACGAUUUUCUAGUGGUUGGGGAUGAGCUCGCGGCCUAUCAGCUUGUUGGUGGGGUAAUGGCCUACCAAGGCGGCGACGGGUAGCCGGCCUGAGAGGGUGGACGGCCACAUUGGGACUGAGAUACGGCCCAGAAUCCUACGGGAGGAAGCAGUGGGGAAUAUUGCACAAUGGGCGGAAGCCUGAUGCAGCGACGCCGCGUGGGGGAUGACGGCCUUCGGGUUGUAAACUCCUUUCGACCGCGAGGAAGCCACCUGGUUGGAAGGGUGGUGACGGUAGUGGUAGAAGAAGCACCGGCUAACUACGUG